rnacentral:rRNA from 1 species
CGCGUAGGUGGUAGUGCAAGUCUGAGGUGGAAUCCCAGGGCUUAACCCUGGAACUGCCCUGGAAACUGCACUACUUGAGUCAGUGAGGGGAGGGUAGAAUUCCUGGUGUAGCGGUGAAAUGCGUAGAUAUCAGGAGGAAGGCCGGUGGCGAAGGCGGCCCUCUGGCGCUGAACUGACACUGAGGCGCGAAAGCGUGGGUAGCAAACAGGAUUAGAUACCCUGGUAGUCCACGCCCUAAACGGUGGGUACUAGGUGUAGGGCUCGUAAGGGUUCUGUGCCGAAGCGAAAGCAUUAAGUACCCCGCCUGGGGAGUACGGCCGCAAGGUUGAA